GUGAGGAAUAUUGCGCAAUGGAGGCAACUCUGACGCAGCCAUGCCGCGUGCAGGAAGAAGGCGCUACGCGUUGUAAACUGCUUUUAACCGGGAAGAAACCCCAGGACGUGUCCUGGGUUGACGGUACCGGAGGAAUAAGCACCGGCUAACUUCGUGCCAGCAGCCGCGGUAAUACGAAGGGUGCAAGCGUUAUCCGGAUUCAUUGGGUUGAAAGGGUGCGUAGGCGGAGCGUUAAGUCAGUGGUGAAAUCCUGCAGCUUAACUGUAGACUUGCAAUUGAUACUGGCGCUCUUGAGUGCGCUUGAAGUGGGCGGAAUGUGCCGUGUAGCGGUGAAAUGCUUAGAUAUGGCACAGAACACCAAUUGCGAAGGCAGAUCACUAAGGCGAUACUGACGCUGAGGCACGAAAGCGUGGGGAUCGAACAGGAUUAGAUACCCGUGUAGUCC
rnacentral:rRNA from 1 species